ensembl:lncRNA
GGGCACAUCCCAGGCAUCUCUUCCUUGUUCUUAUGAACUGGAGACGGGCACUUGCCAUCUGCCUCUACAACGAUUGACUCCUGAGCCACUGCAGCUGCUGACUCUCAACAGCCUCUGAAAGGAGCUCAGGGUGGGGAUCAGGAGUGAGGGACUCUGGGAAAACUGGCAGGACAGGUCUUCAGAGAGUUAAGUAUUUUCAGAAGAUUUUAUGAGCCCAAUCCUUGCAUCUCCUCACAUCUAGAAAAGCACUGAAAUCUUUCAUGGUGACGUCUGCUCCUCGUGAUUAGCAGUUACCUUCACGAGACUAGCAGCGACCUUCUGCAAAAUGCAUGCUUGAUUACACGUACCUCCUUGCUUCACCCAAAUCACAUAUAUUGAGCUCCCCUCUCUUUGGGGUGUUUUUUUUUCCGGAGCUCUCAGAAAUGCUGUCUCCUGGGCUAUAGUCCUCAUUUUGCUCCAGAUAAAACUUAAUUCAUAGCUCUCAUAUUGUAUACUUUUUUUUUUUUUUUUGGCUGCCCCAUAGCAUAUGGAGUUCCCAGGCCAGGGAUCAGAUUUGAGCCACAGGUGCCACCUAAGCCGCAGCUGUGCCAGGCUGGGGAUUGAACCUUGGUCUCAAGACACCACUGAUCCUGUUGCACCACAGCAGGAACUCCUCAUGUUGUGUACUUUUUUGAGUUGACAUUCUAAAGUGCAAUCUUGGGCAAGUCUUUCUGAGAAUUGGUUUCCCUUUUCAUAAAAUAGGGUAACAACACCUGCCCUCACUCCCAACAAUUGAGAGGGUCAAAGGAGACAAGGUCAUAGCACUUUACAAGGUGAAAGCCAUCUGGUGCUGGCUGGGCCAGAGAAGACCCAUGUCCAGUCCAAUGGCACAUGGCACAUCAGGGGCCCAUCUGUGGCCACAACCAUCUCCAGACUCCAGUCCAAGUGUCUGACGAUGGGAAGUUCUCAGAUAACUGCCAAAGUGCUUAUGGUUCAUACUGGACCAAGGCAAUCAUCCCAAGUGGUCCAGGCAGCAAGGUUUGCUGAUGCAGGUCUGUGCCUAGAAAUUGCUGAUCUCGAGAGCCGUCCUUCUGCUUCCAGGUCCCAAAUGUCCAUCCUUCUGCUUCACUGUAGACUGAGCAGCAUUUCCCGUGCUCUGUGGGUAGAAGGGCCCAGUUCCUUCUGGCUCGGCACACAGACUCCAGGACACGGUGGGAAACGGAGCACCAGGAGGAGGAUGUGAAGCCAAAGUGAAAGGAGAGCUGGAGGUUUGCGCAAAAGCAACGGGGCAGGAGGUCCCAUCGCGGCUCAGCGGAAACGAAUCUGAAUAGCAUCCAUGAGGACACAGGUUCGAUCCCUGGCCUUGCUCAUGGGUUAAAGAUCUGGCGUUGCCAUGAGCUGUGGUGUAGGUCACAGACCUGGCUCAGAUCUAGCGUUGGUAUGCCUGUGGUGUAGGCUGGCAGCUACAGUUCUGAUUCAACCCCUCGGUUGGGAACUUCCAUAUGCCAUGGGUGAGGCCCUUAAAAAAAAGCGGGGAAGGGAGUUCCCGUCGUGGUGCAGUGGUUAACGAAUCCGAAUAGGAACCACGAUGUUGGGGGUUCAAUCCCUGGCCUUGCUCAGUGGGUUAACGAUCCGGCAUUGCCGUGAAUUUUGGUGUAGGUCGCAGACACGGCUCCGAUCCCGAGUUGCUGUGGGGUCCGAUUCGACCCCUAGCCUGGGAACCUCCACAUGCCGCGGAAGCGGCCAAAGAAAUAGCAAAAAGACAAAAAACAAAAACAAAAAAAACGGGGAGGGCAAAGCACCUCAUGGACUAUACACUGUCACUAUGUGCAGGCUUUAUCCUGUAUGCUUUACAUUUAAUCCUCAUGAGAACUCUGCACCCCCAUUUUGCAGAUGAGGAAACAGGCACAGAGAGGGUAAGUAACUUGUCAGAAUUUUCACAGCUAGCACCUGCUUGAGCCAGGACUUGAACCUGGGCACGCUGACACCAAGAGGCCCUGCGCUUUACUGUUGCACCAGGCAGCGAUCUGGUGACCCCAGGGAAAGUUCCCACAAAAUGUUUCUCACCCACGUAGAGUCAUCUGGCAAAAAUAGAGCUGGAGGAGGUGGCAAGAGUCUGGUCCUACUCCCAACUCAGCUAUUAAUGUUCCACUCAAAUCCCAACAAGGCAUCUGGAAGAGGUCUGGGUCUUGGCAUCCUGGGGUAAUUUGGGGUGGGGGCGGGGUGGGGCAGUCGCAGCGGGUGAAGUUUAAGAGAGGCUUCAAUUCCAAUGUGAAAAACGUCCCCCUGAAAUCAAGAGUUUUCCCACCGACACUAGGUGGUGGUUUGUGUAGGUCAGUAGAGACAGAUCUAGAGGAAGUUGGAGGCUUCCAAAUCAGAGAAAAGUUGUUUUGCAAAAUAUUUUCAAAGACGAAGCGAACUUGUUAAAAACAAUGGAGGCAUUUUCUCUUCUUUCCAAAGGAAAUGAUUCAACCGAACCAAAGGUCACUUAACGAAAGAGACGAAUUCAAUCACGUUAGAAACAUUAGAGAUUCUGCAACUCUUCACAGCCAGCUGGAGAAACAGCCCUGGGCUUCUGCUGUGUGUGUGUGUGUGUGUGUGUGUGUGUGUGUGUGUGUGUGUGUUCCUUCUAGAGGAUUCUGCUCAAAACUACCUACAUGUUGAAUUCGUUGAGGUACGUGUGGCUGAAAUCUCAGCUGCGUCUGUCCACCGAUGCCACCUAGAAACACGGAGACAAGAGUUGGAGGAAACAGAACUAGAAGCUUUAAUUGCCAGGCAAAGAGGGAACACAGCAGGCUAGUGCCUCCAGGUCUGUGCUCGCCCCUAGAGGGGGUAGUGAGGAGUCUUAUGGUAUUUGAGGAGCAGGGCGUGAUCAGCUCAUGGACAUUUUUCUGAUCCGUGGGUGGUGAGAUAAUUGGAGUCAGCAUCGUCAGCCUUCUGGUUCCCACGCGUGCUUGUGGGCAGCAUAAAAAAGUUGACUUCUUCUACCCAGUGGGGGCUUCAGCACCUGCAAAAGAGCUGCAAGGACACGGCUCAGAAUAUUAUCUAUAGUCUUUGAAGAACUGAAGGUCCUUGACUUUGUUGAAUGGCUGAAUUAUUAUUACUGUUUUCUUUUUUCUAUGUAUUUUUUCACUUCCUGGAUUAAAUUGGUUCUUGGACUAAAGUUUUUCUAUAAAUAAACAGGCAGGUGGAGGACACACAUAGGGUUCACCCUGGGAAGCCCUCCCAGGGUCCUGCUCGGUUACACGCGCAAUUCCAUUUUGAGGUUUGAAAACAUAUGGGCCCCCUCCCGGCUCAAAUUAUUAGAGUCAACUAGAUGGCUCAGUCUCCUCUUCUAUGCUGUGAUCCUCCUGACUCCUUACUCAUUUUUAAAAAGCAUGAUGGGAGUUCCCAUUGUGACUCAGUGGGUUCAAAACCCGACUAGUAUCCAUGAGGAUUCUGGUUCGAUCCUUGCCCUUGUUCAGUGGGUUAAGGAUCUGGCGUUGCCUUGAGCUGCGGUGUAGGUCACAGACCUACACAGGCUUGGAUCCCUGGUUGCUGUGGCUGUGGUGCAGGCUGGCAGCUGCAUUUCUGAUUCGACCCCUAGCCUGGGAACCUCCAACUGCCAAAGGUGUGACACUAAAAAGACAAAAAAAAAGGGGGGGGGAUAAACUAAGAUAAAGCCUUCGCUCUUCUGACACCGGGGAUGGCUUCCUCAGGUGAGGGAGACGGGUGGGGGAGACAUCGCAGACACCCCCACCCUGGCACAAUACGCCAGGUGUCUUUGCCACAAGCCUGAAACGGGGAUUCUCUGUUUUCUUGAAGACCAAGUGUUCACCCAACAAAUCAACGGACUUAAAAACCGCAUUUAAAAAACAACCAAUUUAAUCAAAACCAGCCAAAUUUUGAUUAAAUUAAAUUGGGCCAAUUUGCUCAAAAUGUUUAAAUAGCACUUUAAUUUUGGAGGUAUAGAAGCGAGAGUAUACAUUAAGACAGGAUGUGUCUAGAGCAGUGUUUUGCAACCCUGUCUGUAUGUUGUGAAAUUCUGAAGUGCUGCAAGGCCUGAGUCCUGCCCAAUCAAUUAUUAUGAUGGUUGAAUUGGUUUGGGGUGUGACUGUGGCAAGAGGGCCUUUAAAAACUUCCCUUUAGGGAGUUCCCACUGUGGCUCAGCGGGUUAAAAAUCUGAUUAGCAUCCAUGAGGAUGCACGUUUGAUCCCUGGCCUUCAUCAGUGGGUUAAGGAUCUGGUGUUGCCAUGAGCUGAGGCACAGACACAGCUUGGAUCUGGCAGCUGCAUCUCUGAUUCUACCUACCUCUAGCUUGGGAACUCCCAUAUGCCACAGGUGUGGCCCUAUAAAGAAAAAAUAAGAAAAAUCAAAAAACUUCCCUUUUAAAAAUUAUCUCUUACAUAUAUGCACAUGCAUGCAUAGUGCAGUGGGAUCAUGCUAAAUGUAUGUAUUUGCUUUUUUAAAUUUACUUUUUUUCUUUCUUUCCUUUUUUCCUCCCUCUCUCUCCCCCCUUCCUUCCUUCUUUCCAUCUCUCCUUCUUUCCCCCCUUUUUUUUUUUUUUUUUUUGGCUGUGCCCAUGGCAUGCAAAAUUCCUGGGCCAGGAACUGAACUCACGCCAGAGCUGUAGCCCAAGCCUUAAACUGCUAGGCCACCAGAGAAGUCCUAAAUUUGAUUUUUUUCUACUUUAUUAAGUAAUAUUAUUCCACAAACAUUUUUAUAUGUCUGUAUGUUCUUGUUUACAGGUUUUGUUUUGUUUUACAGCUGCACCUGAGCACAUGGAAGUUCCUGGGCCAGGGGUCGAAUUGGAGCGCAGCUUCUGCCCUACACUGAAGCCACAGCAAUGCUGUAUCCAAGCUGCAUCUAUGAUCUAUGCUGCAGCUUGCAGCAACACUGGAUCCUUAACCCAUUGAUCAAGGUCAGGGAUCGAACCUGCAUCCUCACAGAGACAAUGUCCGAUCCUUAACCCACUGAGCCACAACAGAAACUCUUACAGGAUUAUUUUAACUUAGACAUUUAAAAUGUGCUGUUAUACUUAGUGUAAAUAGUAUGUUCUGUACAUUUUGAAUGAAUUAUUUAGACCUUUCAACAUCUUAAUACUAUUUUAUAUUGUGGAUUUCCACGAAUUAUCUAACAUCUAUUAGAUUUAUAGUUGACUUUAGCCUUUUCGCUCUCGUAAAUAACACGUUAGUAAACCGUCCAUUACAGCAUUUAUUUAGUGCCCAACAAUAAUUAUUUCCUGAGAAUCAAUGGCUAUCAUCCACAUUAAACUUUGUUAACACGCAUAG